rnacentral:rRNA from 1 species
AGUUUGAUCCUGGCUCAGAAUGAACGCUGGCGGCGUGCUUAACACAUGCGAGUCGAACGGUAACAGAAGCAGCUUGCUGCUUGCUGACGAGUGGCGCACGGGUGAGUAAUAUAUAGAUAAUGUGCCUCUUAGUCUGGGAUAGCCAUUGGAAACGAUGAUUAAUACUAGAUACUCCUUCUGAUCUUAAGAUUAGUUGGGAAAGUUUUUCGCUAAGAGAUCGGUCUAUAUCCCAUCAGCUUGUUGGUAGUGUAAGAGACUACCAAGGCUAUGACGGGUAGCGGGUUUGAGAGGAUGAUCCGCCACACUGGUACUGAGACACGGACCAGACUCCUACGGGAGGCAGCAGUGAGGAAUAUUGCACAAUGGGGGAAACCCCGAUGCAGCAACGCCGCGUGGAGGAUGACGCAUUUCGGUGUGUAAACUCCUUUUAUAUGUCAAGAAAAUGACGGUAGCAUAUGAAUAAGCACCGGCUAACUCCGUGCCAGCAGCCGCGGUAAUACGGAGGGUGCAAGCGUUAUUCGGAAUCACUGGGCGUAAAGGACGCGUAGGCGGGUUGCCAAGUCUGAUGUGAAAUCCUAUGGCUCAACCAUAGAACUGCAUUGGAAACUGGUAACCUAGAGUAUGGGAGGGGGAGAUGGAAUUAGUGGUGUAGGGGUAAAAUCCGUAGAUAUCACUAGGAAUACCGAAAGCGAAGGCGAUCUCCUGGAACAUAACUGACGCUAAGGCGUGAAAGCGUGGGGAGCAAACGGGAUUAGAUACCCCGGUAGUCCACGCCCUAAACGAUGAACACUAGUCGUCGGGAUGCUUGUCAUCUCGGUGAUGCACUUAACAGAUUAAGUGUUCCGCCUGGGGAGUACGGUCGCAAGAUUAAAACUCAAAGGAAUAGACGGGGACCCGCACAAGUGGUGGAGCAUGUGGUUUAAUUCGAAGAUACGCGAAGAACCUUACCUAGCCUUGACAUUGAAGAAACACUUUAGAAGAUAGAGUGGUGCCCUUCGGGGAAUCUGAAAACAGGUGCUGCACGGCUGUCGUCAGCUCGUGUCGUGAGAUGUUGGGUU